CCAAAACCAUUCCAAAAAAGGUUUACCUUAAUUUUAUAGAGAUAACCUAGAUUAUCCAGGUUAACACUCAUCACUCAUAAACCAUAGGGAAAAUGAGUACAAGCAUUUCCAUAGCCUAGAUUUCUGGUUUCCAAUUUCCCAAGAGUUUGCGAGUUAAAGAAUGAACAUAAA